rnacentral:rRNA from 1 species
UACGUAGGGUGCAAGCGUUGUCCGGAAUUAUUGGGCGUAAAGCGCACGUAGGCGGCUUAGCAAGUCGGAAGUGAAAGCCCUCGGCUCAACCAAGGAAGUGCUUUCGAAACUGCUGAGCUUGAGUACUUAAGAGGAUCGCGGAAUUCCCGGUGUAGAGGUGAAAUUCGUAGAUAUUGGGAAGAACACCGGUGGCGAAGGCGGCGAGCUGGUCCAUUACUGACGCUGAGGCGCGACAGCGUGGGGAGCAAACAGG